rnacentral:rRNA from 1 species
CCUACGGGAGGCAGCAGUGGGGAAUAUUGCGCAAUGGGCGAAAGCCUGCCGCAGCGACGCCGCGUGAGGGCUGAAGGUCUUCGGAUCGUACCCCUCUGUCAGCAGGGAAGAACGGUCACUGUGCUAAUCAGCAGUGAAUUGACGGUACCUGCAAAGGAAGCACCGUCUACCUCCGUGCCAGCAGCCGCGGUAAUACGGAGGGUGCGAGCGUUAAUCGGACUUACUGGGCGUAAAGCGCUCGUAGGCGGUAUGUCAAGUCAAGUGUGAAAGCCCCGCGAGCAACGUGGGAACUGCCUUUGAAACUGGCAAACUGGAGUGUGUGAGAGGAUAGUGGAAUGCCAGGUGUAGGAGUGAAAUCCAUAGAUAUCUGGAGGAACAUCAGUGGCGAAGGCGACUAUCUGGCACAUAACUGACGCUGAGGAGCGAAAGCGUGGGUAGCAAACAGGAUUAGAUACCCCUGUAGUC